GACGAACCGUGCGAACGUUAUUCGGAAUCACUGGGCUUAAAGCGCGUGUAGGCGGGCGGGUACGUCGGCGACUGAAAGCCCCCGGCUCAACCGGGGAAGUGGAGCCGAAACGGCCGGUCUGGAGGGGCGUAGGGGGACCUGGAACUUCCGGUGGAGCGGUGAAAUGCGUUGAGAUCGGAAGGAACGCCCGUGGCGAAAGCGAGGUCCUGGACGCCAUCUGACGCUGAGACGCGAAAGCCAGGGGAGCGAACGGG
rnacentral:rRNA from 1 species